rnacentral:rRNA from 1 species
UACAGAGGGUGCAAGCGUUAAUCGGAUUUACUGGGCGUAAAGCGUGCGUAGGCGGUUCGUUAAGUCGAUUGUGAAAGCCCUGGGCUUAACCUGGGAAUUGCAGUCGAUACUGGCGGACUAGAGAACGGUAGAGGGAGGCGGAACUCCAGGUGUAGCGGUGAAAUGCGUAGAUAUCCGGAAGAACACCGAUGGCGAAGGCAACCUCCUGGGCCUGUUCUGACGCUGAGGCACGAAAGCGUGGGUAGCAAACAGG